GAGAGUGGCGCACGGGUGAGUAACGCGUAUGCAACCUACCUGUAACAGAGGGAUAGCCCAUAGAAAUGUGGAUUAAUACCUCAUAGUUCUAUUAGAUCGCAUGAUUUGAUAGAUAAAACUCCGGUGGUUACAGAUGGGCAUGCGUGACAUUAGCUAGUUGGUAAGGUAACGGCUUACCAAGGCUACGAUGUCUAGGGGUUCUGAGAGGAUGAUCCCCCACACUGGUACUGAGACACGGACCAGACUCCUACGGGAGGCAGCAGUGAGGAAUAUUGGUCAAUGGGCGCAAGCCUGAACCAGCCAUCCCGCGUGCAGGAUGACGGCCCUAUGGGUUGUAAACUGCUUUUAUACACCAAGAAAAACCCCCACGUGUGGGGACUCGACGGUAGUGUAGUGCGUAGGCGGCUUUUUAAGUCAGUGGUGAAAUCCUGCCGCUUAACGGUAGAAUUGCCAUUGAUACUGAAGAGCUUGAGUACAGUUGAGGUAAGCGGAAUGUGUAGUGUAGCGGUGAAAUGCUUAGAUAUUACACAGAACACCAAUUGCGAAGGCAGCUUACUAAACUGUCACUGACGCUGAUGCACGAAAGCGUGGGGAGCGAACAGGAUUAGAUACCCUGGUAGUCCACGCCGUAAACGAUGCUCACUCGCUGUUUGCGAUACACAGCAAGCGGCCAAGCGAAAGCAUUAAGUGAGCCACCUGGGGAGUACGAUCGCAAGGUUGAAACUCAAAGGAAUUGACGGGGGCCCGCACAAGCGGAGGAACAUGUGGUUUAAUUCGAUGAUACGCGAGGAACCUUACCUGGGCUUAAAUGUAGAACGACAGAUUGUGAAGGAGGAACAUGUGGUUUAAUUCGAUGAUACGCGAGGAACCUUACCUGGGCUUAAAUGUAGAACGACAGAUUGUGAAAGCAGUCCUUCUUCGGACGUUUUACAAGGUGCUGCAUGGUUGUCGUCAGCUCGUGCCGUGAGGUGUCGGGUUAAGUCCCAUAACGAGCGCAACCCUUAUCGUUAGUUGCCAGCGGGUCAAGCCGGGGACUCUAGCGAGACUGCCACCGUAAGGUGUGAGGAAGGUGGGGAUGACGUCAAAUCAGCACGGCCCUUAUGUCCAGGGCUACACACGUGUUACAAUGGCCGAUACAAAGGGCAGCUACCUGGUGACAGGAUGCUAAUCUCCAAAGUCGGUCUCAGUUCGGAUCGAAGUCUG
rnacentral:rRNA from 1 species